GACGAACGCUGGCGGCGUGCUUAACACAUGCAAGUCGAACGAAAAGGCCAUGCUUUUGUUGGGUUCUCGUGUGGCGAACGCGUGAGUAACACACGAGUAACAUCCCCUUAACUUUCUGAUAACUUCAGGAGAAUGGGGCUCAUACCGGAUAGAAGCUCCUGCUGCAUGUGGGUGGAUGGAAAGAUUCGGCGGUUCGGGCUGGACUCGCGGCUUAUCAGCUUGAUGGUGGGGUAGUGGCUUUCCAAGGCUUUGACGGGUAGCAGGCCUGAGAGGGUGACCGGCCACAUUGGGACCGAGAUACGGCCCAGGCACCUACGGGAGGCAGCAGUGGGGAGUAUUGCACAAUGGGCGGAAGCCUGAUGCAGCAACGCCGCGUGCGGGAUGACGGCCUUCGGGUUGUAAACCGCUUUCGCCUGUGACGAAGCGUGAGUGACGGUAAUGGGUAAAGAAGCACCGGCUAACUACGUG
rnacentral:rRNA from 1 species